rnacentral:rRNA from 1 species
GACGAACGCUGGCGGCGUGCUUAACACAUGCAAGUCGAACGGAAAGGCCCUGCUUUUGUGGGGUGCUCGAGUGGCGAACGGGUGAGUAACACGUGAGUAACCUGCCCUUGACUUUGGGAUAACUUCAGGAAAAUGGGGCUAAUACCGGAUAGGAGCUCCUGCUGCAUGGUGGGGGUUGGAAAGUUUCGGCGGUUGGGGAUGGACUCGCGGCUUAUCCGCUUGUUGGUGGGGUAGUGGCUUACCAAGGCUUUGACGGGUAGCCGGCCUGAGAGGGUGACCGGCCACAUUGGGACUGAGAGACGGCCCAGACUCCUACGGGAGGCAGCAGGGGGGAAUAUUGCACAAUGGGCGGAAGCCUGAUGCAGCAACGCCGCGUGCGGGAUGACGGCCUUCGGGUUGUAAACCGCUUUCGCCGUUGACGAAGCGUGAGUGACGGUAAUUGGUAAAGAAGCACCGGCUAACUACGUG